CUCACCACAUUCUCUGAGGCAGAACAGAGCAGCGGCGUCAUGAAGAAAGCUCGAUGCCUAUGCCUGCGAUCUCGAGUGAUCGAGUUCUUCAUUCGAUCUGCUUAGGCCUGCUAGCUUUCCUGUGCAUUUUGAUUUUUUUUUCCUUAAAAAUUGUAGCAUUCAGCAUGGAUUUUAGGCUUCCGUUUGAUUUUCUCCAGUGAUUCACUGUUAUAUGUUUGGAAAAAUUUGCUGGACGUUCGCCAAUAGCCAAGUAAUCGGCGCUGUCGGUCUUCGCCGAUCGCUUUCAUCCUACUCUCUUCGAGUAACUCAUUUGCAUCUAUUCGAUUUUUUAUUAUUUCAUUACGAAAUCUGUAGCUAAAUGCGUUGGGGGAUGACUGAUGAGUAUGCUUAUGCAGGAAAUUCUAAUUUUCUUUUAGUUACUACUUUUUUCCCCGAUUGAGUGUGUUAUGUGAUUAAAUAAUGCAUUUCUGAUGUUUGUGAAAAUGUUUUCUGCUUGUAAUGUAUGACGGAACGCGGAGCAUUAACGAUCUAUUGUUGUGUAUGAUCUGUUUCUCUACUAUUAAAAAUCUUGUGUAACGAACAGAUUAAACACACUACUUAGUACUUACCCUGUGGCUGUGAAUGAUUAGCAUUUGUCGAUAUAUCAACAGUUUUCUAUGAUACCAGAAGAAUCUCAAAUUUGAAUCACUGCAAUGUUGAUGCGUAAGAUUCUUAGUUCUUACUAUUUUUGUUAUCCAUGUAUGCCUCACGCAAAUUGCUUUUAUCUUAGAUUUUACAAGAAAGUAUGUUUGUUUUCCAUAAUUUUUGUUUGAACUUUGAUGAGAAAUGUGAAGGCAUCUUUGGAAGUUGUCCUUCUUCAUCUAGUAGUUAUGCAGAUUGUUCAUUCUGUUAAAUAGUUUUGUGCAGUGGUGCAUAGCUGAGAUCUUGAGAUAUAGUUUUAUGUUUCACAGUGCUAACGACACUAAAAGCAUUCAUUUAGACUCUGACUAGUUUAUUCAAUUGCAGCCUUCAUGCUUUAGUAGAACCUUCUUGUUCACUCAGUUACUUGUGACAAAUCUUCACAUUGCUGUGUUAUUCUGUUUAUACGCCUCUUGAAGCUCAACCUGGUUCACAUCUUGAUUGAUGUCAUCACUUUUCUUCUCCUUUUGUUUCAUCUAACCUGCUUAAUAUUUGUUCAUCGGCUAUACCAGUAGGUAAUUAGGAGUAGGAGAUUCAAUCCAGUAUAUUUUUUGUUGGCUAGUCAGGUUUUGCUGUUUCAGAAGUUUUCAUUAUGCCUUGUACUGAUCACUCACCAGUUAAUUUUAAAGAGAGCAUAUGCUAAAGUAAACAGUAAGCUUAUUCACAACCAAAAUACAAAUCUAGAGUCUAUUUAAUGACCUAAUGACAGCAAGGUCACAAAAAACUGGCUUCUACAUCUGAUUGGAGAAUGCAGCUUGCAGUUAUUUGCUCUUGUUUCAUUAUGGAUAUCAAGCUAAGUUGGUAAAUUGAUCUACAUCCAUCUUUUUUUCUUUUUUAACCUGAUUAUUUUUCAGAUACAUGAUUCGCCUUCUCUAUCUGUUACAAAUUUCACAUCCUUGGGAGACAAGUUUAUCGAGGACCCAACAUUACACGACCGGUGAUGUUUUGAAAUGCGUUGGAUCGUUGUUUCAUUAAUGUAUAUAAUAUCCUGCUCCAUUUUCUAUUAAGCAUGAUAGUUGGCAAGAAAUCUGCAGGAGAUGGUUUUGAUGCAGGUUCUGCAAUUUGGGAUUGGCAUGUCAAACAAUUCUUUUACUUCAGUUGAAGAGCUUCUUGUUCAAUUCAAGCUAGCCACAAUUUGUUCAACUCCUGAAUCAUCUAAGGCAAACAAAAUCUUAUGGAACUUCAAAGCCUCUAUUUUUGUUUCAUUUAAAGUGAGACAUAAAUUUUAGUUUAAGUACAGUCUGACGUUUGUUGAG